rnacentral:lncRNA from 1 species
CCAAAACAAGUUUAACUCCUUUCCUCCGGCUCCUCACGGAGAUUCUACCUUCUUCUCCAAAUCCCCGAUUCAAACCGAACUCUAUCUAGUGAUCGACAUCCGCCGACGACUCCAAGGCGGUUGUUAUAUUGGUGCUUUCAAGCUUGAACUCCGGUGAGCAAGGAUCCAGUCGGUAACGACUCUAAACAUAGCAAAUCUUCCAGGGCACGUUCCAAGCCUUAAUUGGUUUCGGAAGAGCGACGUUCAGAGAUUUUCCUUGUUUAUUAAAUAAAUUCUGUAGGCUAAUCAUGUAAACAGAUGUAAAUGCAGAUACACUGGACGAAAUUCGGGGAUCGUUAGCGCUGGUGGUGGACCAGCAGAAUAUCCGGCUGACAGAGACCAAUCGUCGACAGGAAAAGGUGAUUGCAUGCAUGUACGAUGAAAUGUUCGAAUUGAAGAACGUCGUCAAGAAAUUCCAAGCCGGGGAAGGAAGUAGUAGUCGCGGCCCGGAUGGAGGAACCAGAGGCGCACAACCAUUAAAAUUGGAUCUGCCGAGGUUCGCCGGA